AGCAGCCGCGGUAAUUCCAGCUCCAAUAGCGUAUAUUAAAGUUGUUGCAGUUAAAAAGCUCGUAGUUGAAUUUCGGGAUCGACGGGUCGGUCGCGCCUCUGGUGUGUACUGGCCCUGUCGGUUUCUCCCUUCUGACGAACCACGAUGUCAUUAAUUUGGUGUCGUGGGAAAUCAGGACUGUUACUUUGAAAAAUUAGAGUGUUUAAAGCAGGCAUUCGCUUGAAUACAUUAGCAUGGAAUAAUGAAAUAGGACGUUUGAUCUUAUUUUGUUGGUUUCUAAGAUCGACGUAAUGAUUAAUAGGGAUAGUUGGGGGCAUUAGUAUUCAAUUGUCAGAGGUGAAAUUCUUGGAUUUAUUGAAGACUAACUACUGCGAAAGCAUUUGCCAAGGAUGUUUUCAUUAAUCAAGAACGAAAGUUAGGGGAUCGAAGACGAUCAGAUACCGUCGUAGUCUUAACCAUAAACUAUGCCGACUAGGGAUCGGAUGAUGUUAAUUUUUAAUGACUCAUUCGGCGCCUUACG
rnacentral:rRNA from 1 species